rnacentral:rRNA from 1 species
UCGCGAAAACUUCACAAUGGGGGCAACCCCGAUGAGGGAAUUCCUAGUGCUAGCACAUUUGUGUUAGCUUUUCUUUAGCUUGGAAAACUAGAGGAAUAAGGGCUGGGUAAGACGGGUGCCAGCCGCCGCGGUAAUACCUGCAGCCCAAGUGGUGGUCGAUUUUAUUGAGUCUAAAACGUUCGUAGCCGGUUCGGUAAAUCUUUGGGUAAAUCGGGGGGCUUAACCUUCCGACUUCCGAGGAGACUGCCGAACUUGGGACCGGGAGAGGCUAGAGGUACUUCUGGGGUAGGGGUAAAAUCCUGUAAUCCUAGAAGGACCACCGGUGGCGAAGGCGUCUAGCUAGAACGGAUCCGACGGUGAGGGACGAAGCCCUGGGUCGCAAACGGGAUUAGAUACCCCGGUAGUCCAGGGUGUAAACGCUGCAGACUUGGUGUUGGAGGCCCUUUGGGGGCAUUCAGUGCCGGAGAGAAGUUGUUAAGUCUGCUACUUGGGGAGUACGUCCGCAAGGAUGAAACUUAAAGGAAUUGGCGGGGGAGCACCGCAACGGGAGGAGCGUGCGGUUUAAUUGGAUUCAACACCGUAAAACUCACCAGGGAAGACUGUUACAUGAAGGCCGGGCUAAAGACUCUGCCAGAUUUUCA